CACGUAGGGGGCGAGCGUUAUCCGGAAUCAUUGGGCGUAAAGGGUGCGUAGGCGGCCUUUUAAGCGCGGGGUCUAAGGCGGUGGCCCAACCACCGUUCGCCCCGCGAACUGGAGGGCUAGAGUGUCGGAGAGGGAAGCGGAAUUCCUAGUGUAGCGGUGAAAUGCGUAGAUAUUAGGAGGAACACCAGUGGCGAAGGCGGCUUCCUGGACGAAGACUGACGCUGAGGCACGAAAGCGUGGGGAGCGAACAGG
rnacentral:rRNA from 1 species